rnacentral:rRNA from 1 species
AAGGAUCAUUAUCGAGAUCGAACCUCUGGGAGGGGGAGGGCUUCCCCGAACCCUUUCGAGGCUUCAGCCCUCUAACACCUGUGUGCACCCGCUGUAGGUCCUUAGGGACCUAUGUCUUCUUCGAACUCGCAUGUCUACAGAAUGUCGUCCGCGACCUCGGUCGCAGGAAACCUAAUACAACUUUCAGCAAUGGAUCUCUUGGCUCUCGCAUCGAUGAGGGACGCAGCGGAUCGCGAUAAGUAAUGUGAAUUGCAGAUUUUCCGUGAAUCAUCGAAUCUUUGAACGCACCUUGCGCUCCUUGGUAUUCCGAGGAGCAUGCCUGUUUGAGUGUCAUCGAAACAUCAGAUCGAAGCUUUCGACCUCGUCGGAGCUCGGUUUGGACUUAUGGGAGUCUGCGGGCGAACCUCCCGUCGGGGGGACGUCGGCUCUCCUCAAAAGCAUUAGCGUUGGGUGCGAGCCUCGCGUGGCACGGCCUCUUCGACGUCAUAAUGACCGUCGUGGGCUGGAAGUGCGUGGAUCGUAGAUGCCCGUCGCUCUCCAACUCUGCGAGCCCGGUCCGUCCGGCCGCGUGUUAUCGAAGCUUGACCUCAAAUCAGGUAGGACUACCCGCUGAACUUAAGCAUAUCAAUAAGCGGAGGAAAAGAAACUAACGAGGAUUCCCCUAGUAACUGCGAGUGAAGCGGGAAGAGCUCAAAUUUCGAAUCUGGCGGCCCUCGGUCGUCCGAGUUGUAAUCUAGAGAAGCGUCUUCCGCGCUGGACCGUGUACAAGUCUCCUGGAAGGGAGCAUCGUAGAGGGUGACAAUCCCGUCUCUGACACGGAACCCCCAGGGCUAUGUGAUGCGCUCUCGACGAGUCGAGUUGUUUGGGAAUGCAGCUCAAAUCGGGUGGUAAACUCCAUCUAAAGCUAAAUAUUGGCGAGAGACCGAUAGCGAACAAGUACCGUGAGGGAAAGAUGAAAAGCACUUUGGAAAGAGAGUUAAACAGUACGUGAAAUUGCUGGAAGGGAAACGCUUGAUGUCAGUCGCGUCGACCGGGGAUCAACCUUGCUUCUAGCUGGGCGUAUUUCCCGGUAGACGGGUCAGCAUCGAUUUCGGCCGUCGUAGAAGGGCGGGAGCGAACGUGGCACUCUCCGGAGUGUGUUAUAGCCUCCCGUACGGAUGCGAUGGCCGGGAUCGAGGAACUCGGCACGACCCCUCGAGGGUUCGGGACUUCGGUCCACGUAGCGUGCCCAGGAUGCGGCGUAAUGGCCUUAAGCGACC